rnacentral:piRNA from 1 species
UAAGACUGUGCCUAAUUUCCUUUGG